ACCUUUGGUCCUGACAAAGUCUGUUUACUAAAGCCAUCAACACAUUCAGUGUCAAAUGGUCAAGUCAUACAUACAGCAUACGGGACUCCCCGAAUAUUUGUUCAACUCAAUCUGGGAGAAAAAUACAUUUUAAGGAUUAAAGGAUUGCUUUUAAAUAUUUAAACUGCCUAUUUCUGUAUCUUAAUACCUAAAUUGAUUUCUUACAGAACAAGCCAAAUUUUCCCAGAAAAUUACAUUGGGCAUCUUUGGAAGAACAUUAAAACUUUGAGGUAGCCCUGGUCCUGUUGCUCAAAUUACUGCUCCAGUGCACCAAACGGUGACCUGUUCAGUAGCUCAGAGUAUGCAAAAAACAGAAAAUCUACAAGUUUUGGACAAAAUUCCUCCCAAACACCUCACCUGGGAUCACUAGAGUCUGCAAAAGUCGUAUGCUAUGCUGUACAUAUUUCUGGUUCUUCUAAUCACAUUGAUAUACUGUCAGUCAAAAAUAAAGGAGCUGAAUUGAGUUCACACUUCAUUACAAAACUAAGAACAUUAUGA
rnacentral:lncRNA from 1 species